CAACAGAUGCAUCUGUGUAAGAGGAAGUAACAUGCGAUGUUAUAUUCCUCGGUGUUGGGAGUUUACUGGUCACUCAAACUGCAGAGUCCACAAUUGCAGGCAGUGCUAUUCAGAUGGACUAAGAAUCAAAUGAAGACCCGGGAGUUGUGUGAUGCGAAGGGCCUCAUAGAAAGGGAACCGAUGCCUUGAGGAAUCAGAUGUUUCAUGCUAAUUUAAAUUUUUGGCACCUGUAGUCUUCAAUCACAUGAAACCUGAAAGGCUGCUUUCUAAAUAAUGACAACAGAUUUCCUGACAAUGCGAAGAACAGAUGUCACUAAGUUUCAAGUCUACAGAAAUUGCCCAGAGAGUGCAGAGAGUAUAUACUAUAAAUAAGGCACUAGAUGUGAUUACUCAGGGAGAGCGAGGAGACAUGUAAAGCUUAAUUUCUGCCCAUGAGGCAGUAUUACAGCAUUUCCCAGAAUCAAGAAAUGAUGUAUGUGAGGGAAAACUGGGGAAGGGACUUCCCAGAUGAGGUGGCCCUUGGACUGGCCCUUGAAAA